UCAAGCGUCUAAGAGCAUCUGGUGGAUGCCUUGGCACUGAGAGGCGAUGAAGGACGUAGCACGUUGCGAUAAGCCAUGGGGAGAUGCGAGCAAUCUUUGAUCCGUGGAUUUCCGAAUGGGGAAACCCGGCCCGUAAGGGUCAUCGUUAUCUGAAUACAUAGGGUAACGAAGCAAACCCGGCGAACUGAAACAUCUAAGUAGCCGGAGGAAAGGACAUCAACCGAGACUCCGUUAGUAGUGGCGAGCGAACGCGGACCAGGCCAGUGGCCAUCGGAUAAGAACCGGAACUGUCUGGAAAGGCAGGCCAUAGUGGGUGAUAGCCCCGUAUCCGAAACCUGAGUCUGGUGAAAUCGAGUAGGACGGGACACGUGAUAUCCUGUCUGAACAUGGGGGGACCAUCCUCCAAGGC
rnacentral:rRNA from 1 species